AGAGCAUUGAGAGGAUCUUUCCCUAGUACGAGAGGAUCGGGAAGGACGCAGCUCUGGUGUACCAGUUAUCGUGCCUACGGUAAACGCUGGGUAGCCAAGUGCGGAGAGGAUAACUGCUGAAAGCAUAUAAGUAGUAAGCCCACCCCAAGAUGAGUGCUCU
rnacentral:rRNA from 1 species